GUGCAUGUUGUUUCUGGAAUACAUCAUAUUCAUUUGCAGAAACCCUGUGUAUGGAUCUUUAACACUUUUCCCCCCUUUUUUUUUCCGAGGUACCUAGAAUAAUGGCUUUUUAAGACAGUAAUAAAGCUGUGUAACUUGUGGGGAAAAGCACACUGUGGCUCACAAUCUGAAUUAAACGUGUGUCAUUGGGGCUGAGGGGGAAAUUUUCUACCUUCAAGAAACCUGAUAUUUUGGACCAGAUCCCUGUCUGAACAGGUUGUAUGCUGCCCUUUUCAAAAUCAAGCUAUCAGAGGAUGCCCUUCAGCUGAAGUGUUAAGAGGACUUGGUGAGCUUAACAUGUUUCGCCUGCUUAAUUUAAUUUGGAAAAAUUCAACCAGAAAAUGAAGUUAUUAACAGAGAUCAGAGCAUGGCCAUGGAAUAACAACAGCUACAAACAUAUCUCUGUGUGCUGAGGCAGUUACCCACGAGAUGGUGUUCCCUGGAUAAUUGUGUUUGUAAAUAUAGAUGGAUGCACAACACAGGCUGCUGCCUAGGAAAAUCAAGACUAACUGAACUGACUAAUUCUGAGUGCUUACCUCCUUUCAAUGCUUUUUUGGGAUGGGGAGUUUUAGUCUAAAGGAACAUGUUUAAGAACCAGUCUCUGCCCAGGCUGCUGAAGGCAGAAGAUGCCUGAGAGUGAAACAAAAAUGUUUUGAAGAGCAGGAUGGUACUCCCUGUCUCUUCUGCACUAACCACCAACAGCUGGAGAACAGGCUGCAAGAGGCAGGAGGACCACAUCUCAUGGACACGUG
rnacentral:lncRNA from 1 species